AACCGAGGAGUCCUUGUGGCACCUUAGAGACUAACUAAUUUAUUUGAGAAUAACUUUCCAUGGGCUAUAACCCAAGGACUUCUACAAACUCUGUAGUAAAAACCC